rnacentral:rRNA from 1 species
UACGUAGGGCGCAAGCGUUAUCCGGAAUUAUUGGGCGUAAAGAGCUCGUAGGCGGCUUGUCGCGUCGAAUGUGAAAACCCACGGCUCAACUGUGGGCUUGCAUUCGAUACGGGCAGGCUAGAGUUCGGUAGGGGAGACUGGAAUUCCUGGUGUAGCGGUGGAAAUGCGCAGAUAUCAGGAGGAACACCGAUGGCGAAGGCAGGUCACUGGGCCGCAACUGACGCUGAGGUGCGAAAGUGUGGGGAGCGAACAGG